rnacentral:lncRNA from 1 species
CGGCACAUUAUUAAAACUGUAAUGCCCGUUUUCACCAACAACCUCUUACCGUUUCCCUAUCUAAAAGCUACUUUUAAUAAGGACCCCUCCCAAUUUGACACCUACCUAAAUUCAUUUUCACCACACUUGUACAUGGAUCCCUUAAAAGAAAAAGACAAGCUAGUGAAAUUGCUGACGUCUCAUAGAGACACAAUAUUAAACAAAAAACGGAUGGGACCACGAACGAAGCCAAAAACAAAGCUUGGAUCCAGUUACAAAUAGUUUUAAUGCGAUAGGAACCGUUUACAGUUUCAGGUGGUGCGAGAAAUUGGAAAGACGUGUAAAAACAUGCUGCGCCCAGCCCACCUCAAAUUGAAUUGGUGCAGGAGGAUGAUGAUAAUGUUUGGUACAUCAUAUGAGGACUAAUAUUAAAAUAUUUGUUUAC